CGCGAUUUAUUUUUACCACAGUGAUUGGGUAUCAGGUAUAGAUCAAAGUACCGUGUAGCGUUAGGACAAAUCUGAGGCUUUAUUGUUGAUAUGCUUAUAGGCGACACUAAUUGGAUUUCCUUUUCAGAUUCUUUAUUGUUCUUCAGAUUUCAACUGCUGACGAUACUUGGGAAACAAAGAAUAGUACAAGUGCCAAGUUUUUUUUUGCUCACUGCUCCUAACGGUGCACUCCUGACUGUGAGGAGGUGAGGCACUGGAACAGGUUGCCUAGAGAUGUGGCUGGUGCUCCGUCCCUGGGGACUUUCUAGGCUAGGCUGGAUAAGGCCCUGGGCAACCUGAUCUAGCUGUGGUGUCCCAGUUCACUUCACAGGAGCUGGACUCGAUGGCUUGCACAGGUCCCUUCCAACUGUAAAGAUUCUAUGAUUCUGUGGCUGUGGAGACCAGGUGGGUGUGAACCACAGAACCUAGAGGUGAGGGAUCAACCCUGCGCUCGAGGGAUGCCGACACACCUCAAUCUUCUCGUCUCCUUUUUCUGUCCCCAUUCAACUCCAAUGUCCCCAUAGGAGCACAAUGUGCCCGUCACUCCCCACUGUCCCUAUCUCUCCAAUCAGUCCCCUGGAAGCCAUGGUUAACACAGUGACAACAGUGGAAAAGGCUUGUGGGAAAAGAAAGGAAUGGGACCCUGAGGAGCUCCGUGUGCAGGGCAGAAUUACCUGUGAGAUCAACCAUGGAAAAAAAGGGAUUACCUUGGGAUUGGAGAAGGAAGUACACCCUCAUGGGAACAUCCAUGACAGCCCCUGGACACGUACAUGAUGAGGGAUUGCCAUGGGGUUGGACUGAACACAUUGCCCAAUGCAAGGAGGCAUGCUUCAAGUGCAUAUCAAUCCUGGACCCACCCGGAUCCCAAUCCAGGCAGCAUUUGGAAGGCACCAGCUGUGGAGGAAUCCAGUGUGAGUGCUGGGCAACCCAUAUCCACGGGGAUCUUCUCGCCAUGAGCUCCUGGUAGCAACCCUGCUCAUUCCUUCGUACAUGCUGAAUCCAUUCAUCAAGGGAAAAUUUCUCCAUUGCUUACAACCCAUGACUCAUGAUGAAAAAUCCCACUUGAAUGGGGAAGGAGAGAACUUGAC
rnacentral:lncRNA from 1 species